rnacentral:rRNA from 1 species
CAGUAGCCGCGGUAAUACGAAGGGUGCAAGCGUUACUCGGAUUUACUGGGCGUAAAGCGUGCGUAGGCGGCUUUUUAAGUCGGAUGUGAAAUCCCUGAGCUUAACUUAGGAAUUGCAUUCGAUACUGGGAAGCUAGAGUAUGGGAGAGGAUGGUAGAAUUCCAGGUGUAGCGGUGAAAUGCGUAGAGAUCUGGAGGAAUACCGAUGGCGAAGGCAGCCAUCUGGCCUAAUACUGACGCUGAGGUACGAAAGCAUGGGGAGCAAACAGGAUUAGAUACCCCGGUAGUCCCUGUCUCUUAUAC